GCGGCGCGGUGACCAUAGAGAUGCGCUGGCCGGAGCGCCCCUGGCAGGGCCGGUCUGGCUCCCUCUCGAUGGUGUCUCUGACGGAGAGGAGGACCUCGGGGCCAUUUGGGGUCCCCAGGUCCUGCCUGAACACACCUGGUUGUGGAGACACGGGCCCCAGGUCCAUUCCUGUCACCCCUGGCUGUGAGGACAUGGGGAACUCUGAGCUCCUGACCCCCUGGCUCUGGGGACAUGGGGGAUCCCAGGUUGUGACUCACACACUCGGUAUCCAGGUUCCAGCUGUGCAGGGCGAGUUCAGACAUGAUGCACAGCUCUGGAUUUGAAGAGGGAAUUUUCCUCCAAGAGCUUUAUUUGCUAAAAUACAUAAUUUGGUGAUACAAGCUUCCCUGGAAAGCAGUGAUUCCUUAAAGAGGGGGAGGAUGAUCAGGGAGGAGCAGGAUCCUUGCAGACACACAUGCUGGAAAGCAGAGCUGUAUUUUAAGGCAUCCAUAAAUAUUUUUCUGGGGAUGGAGUUUAGCAGCAGCUUGUUGGGGGAUGAGAGCAGGGUAAGUGCAGCUGACAGAAAAUACAGUCCCUGGGUGGGAAUUCAGAGGAAAGGAGCAGAUUAGGCUUUCAAAUUCCCAAAACAGGAUGAGGAACAGAGCUCCAUUUUCAUCCCAUUCCGGGAACUCAUGUUGAUGGGCUGCUCCUGCCCCAGGUUUCCUAUGGGGACCAGAGCUUGUGCUGGACACUUUGGAUGCUCUGGGCAGGGUGGGAGCCUCGGGAGAGUCUGUGGAGCUGAGCUCUGACUGAACUUUAUCCCUAUUUAAUCCAGCCAUCCCAGUGUAAGACUCAGCAAACAGCAUCUGGUGAUCUGUUUGUGCCAUGACACAUUUUCGUCUCUGUUUCCCUACCCAGCAAUGACAAGAGUUGGGAAUUUGGAGAGGUCAGAGAGCAGAGAACUGACAGUGUUGGGAAUGCAGCUCAGAGCUCUCAACGCCCUGGUUGGUGCCCUGCCAGCCCAACCACUCUGCUCUGAAUAAUUCCAUUUUAUUUGUCUGCUGCCAGGUUUUAGGGAGGUGUCAAUCUCCCACUUACAGGGACAUCACAGGCAGCAGCAGAAACUGCCUGUGGAAUGUGGGACUUAUUGUAACACUGGGCUUCUUUCUCCCUGGCAACAACGACAGGACAAGAGGAAAUGGCCUCAAGUUGCUCCAGGAGAGGUUUAAAUUGGAAUUAGGGGAAAUUUCUUCAUGGAAAAGGUUGUCAAGCAUUGGAACAAGCUGCCCAGGGCAGAGGUGGAGUCACCAUCCCUGGAAGUGUUCAGAAAACAUGUUGAUGUGGCACUUGAGGACUUGGGUGAGUGGUGACAAUGGUGGUGCUGGCUGAUGGUUGGACUUGGGGAUCUUUGAGGGUUUUUCCAACCUUGACCUGCGCAGAUUCACUUGAAGACAGAUUUUGUUCUCACCUACACCCCUCUGAGCCUCCAGUCAUCUCACACAGUGUGUGCUGGAGAGCCUCACCUAAUUAAAUCUCAGGAAAACAGGAGAGCACCUGGGGGCUGUGUGGGCUUCACUUGAGGGAUCUCGGGGCUGUCAAAUGAAAGAUUCCUCUCACAGCUCUUGCUCCUCACAGCAAACACCUCAGAGCAGAGCCAAAUUUACUCUGCACUUCACACAUCUGGGUAUUAACUGGCUGGGGUUGGAAAUUACUUCCAGGAGAAAAAAUGACUCACGGACUGGAGGGGGCUAGGGAUCUGCUUGCAUUACAGAUGCUAGCCCAUGGCAUCUUUUUUCCCUGCUCUUUUCCCUGCCUUUCAAAUUUUUGUCUCUUCUGCUUUCCUAAGGCAGCGCUGUCAUCCCACAUCACCGGGAAUGUUUCAUCACGAUUCCUUGAUGGUGUUAUGUCACAUCCAAAUCACUCUGUGAUGUCAUUGCCGCAGCCCUUGAGAUGUUUAGAGACUCUUAAUAUUCUGCCAACCACAGGACAGGCAAAAAACACAGGGCGGGGUGGACAAGCAAUGGUGCCUCGCAGUUCAUCCUCUCACCCAACAGGCCCCACUGUUGGGUUCUCCAGCUGAUGAGUCACACCAGAAGUGAAGGGUCAUUCCUGCAUCUUGCAGGAUGAUGGACAACUUCAUUAAGCUGGAGAGGAUUUUGUUCCUCUGGGGGAGUUCCUGGCACAAGACCUCCUGGGAGCAGCACGGUGCCAUGUGUCCGCUGACGUGCUACGGAAUCUGUGGCAGCAUCGGCUUCUGCGAGGGGAACAAGAAUCCUAAAAUUAUCCUUUAGUUACUUAGAAUAUAAAUAGAAUUCAAAUUGCU